UUACUUACCUGGACGGGGUCAUUGGGUGAUCAAGAGGGCCCAUAGCCUAGGCUGGUGACCUCCAUUGCACCUGGGAGGGGUGCCUUUCUAAGGUCUCCCCAAGAGGGAGAACCUACGUCAUAAUUUGUUGCAGAGGGGGCCUGCGUUCGCGCGGCCCCUA